CGUGUCCAAAUUCCCUUAUUUUGAUGGAGCUUUGCCCCUCGAGUUCCUCUCGAUCCGGAAGUCUUUGUGAUCCUCCAUCUUAAAAAGACAGACCCACUGCAACUCAAUAUGUGGAGCAGCAGCACCCUAAGGUUGACUGGGGUAGUAGCGCAAACUAAAGGUGGUGGACAGUGGUUCUGCCCUGCCAGAGGAGACCAUCCAGCACCAGCAGCCUCAAUACCACUAACUUAAAAAACUAAAAUGAAGACGGAAAGAACAAUUAAACAUAGAAAUCACUGUACAGACCAAGCUGCAGAUAAAAAGCAAUGCACUGUCAUCCAUGCAAAAUAGAAAUGCAUUUUACAUUAAAUCUAAUAUGUUUCACUUAAAUAAAUUACAAUAAAUCAAAAAAGGGUUUAAAGUACACGACAAGUAAGCCACAUUUAAGUGAGCUGUGUGGCAGCACAUGUGGCCAUAACACUGUAGGUAAUUUUAUUUAGCUUGAUUUAAACAAUACCAUUUCAAGACUUCAAUCACAGUAUGCACAAAAAGGCCAGUUCAAAUUUGUCCAAACUAAAGCAAAUUGGGGUACAGUGUCACCCAGGCUGCUAAAAUUGAGCUUUAUCAAUAGAUAGGUAAAAUAAGGGGGGAAAUAAAUAAUUGUACUGUUGUACAAUGUUAUGUAAAAUGUAUCUAUAGAGGUAAAGGGCUUCUAAAAACCAAAGACAAUUGUUUUUAGAAUAAAAAGUGACUAUGGCAAGACCAACACUAGAUACUGCAUUUACACAAAAGGGAGAAAGCGCUCCAAAAGUACAUUUAGGUCAGGAAACAACAUAUACUGCAACUAGUUUUCCCUGUAGUUAUGACAAACAUCCCUGUCUCAGUUCACCUUGGAGACAUUUGACAGUCGCACAUAUACAUAUUUGAUACAUUUAUCAAAAACAAAUAAUUUUACAUUCGUUAAGUUACAAAAAAAACAUAGAGAAGUACUAUAAAUCUUUAUUUUAUGCAGUGAUAUUUGUCCUAUUUAUCCUCAAAAGCAAUCUGAUCAAUACAUUUUAACUUUAAUAAGUCACAUAUAAAAACGCAUUCUACUCAGCUCAACUUCCACUUUGCCAGCUUUUUAGUGAAAAAAAACAAGCUCACCAAAACUCAUGUCUUCCAGGGUAAAUAUCAAAUAAUUGUCUUUCUGAUUUGGAUGUGAUCUGCCCAGAAAACUGGGCAAACUGCCUAGAAAGUACAGUAGGUCUCAGUGUAACCAUAACUACAACCAUUAAAAUUAACAUAUAACUUAGAAAAUACAAACAUAAGCCAAAGAAAAAGCAAUGUUAAAUAUCCCAUUUAUUGAAAACAUUCUUUUCCCAAAUAACAUGAUGGAAUAUUUAUAUUUACAUGGUUACAGCACAUCAGAAAAAUGCUAUUCAGACCACUUACUGUAUUGCUACUUAGGUACUCAUCUUCAGCUGCAAAGACAUAAAAAUACUUUUUGGGUUUGCAAAUGCACAGGAUAAAAACACAAUCUACAGCUGAUGUCACAGUCUUCAUUAAAACUGGAAUUGUUAUUGGAGAGUUAAAGCUUAUUUAGGCAACAUCUAAAUACAUGAUUAUUUGUGGGAAAUGAAGUUCAUAAUAUGCCCAAGAGACAAAAAUACAUACUAUUAUUCAAGAGAAAGAUGGGAUUUCCAUUCUAAAAGAGCAAAUAAUUGGUGAUGGAGAGAAAUGUUGCUUAUUUCUUAACGGAUGUGAACAAUAAAAACAAGCAGUGACAUGUCCCCCACAAUUUGAAGAAGACAAAUGCAUGAUCCUGAGGUAGCAAAGCCUAAUCAAAUACACUUCAAAUUGAUCUAACUGAAAUUCUUUUAUGCUAAACAACUAGCUUAAAAAAAACAAAAAACAAAACUUAUAUACAGAAAAUUAUACACAACAAAAUGAUUCAACAAUACUUUAAAUUGCUUCCAAUUUAACCCUCUGACAAGAUUCUGAGUCCUGAGAAAGAUCAGUGCACGCAAACUGCAUAAUAGGCAUACAAAAAAAGGCAUACUUCAAAAUUAAUAUAUUGUAAUAAUGUGAUACUGAUAACGUUCUAAACGUUCUAAAAUGAGAGCAAAGACA